rnacentral:rRNA from 1 species
AUUGAACGCUGGCGGCAGGCCUAACACAUGCAAGUCGAGCGGAUGCAGGGAGCUUGCUCCUGGAUUCAGCGGCGGACGGGUGAGUAAUGCCUAGGAAUCUGCCUGGUCGUGGGGGAUAACGUCCGGAAACGGGCGCUAAUACCGCAUACGUCCUGAGGGAGAAAGUGGGGGAUCUUCGGACCUCACGCUAUCAGAUGAGCCUAGGUCGGAUUAGCUAGUUGGUGGGGUAAAGGCCUACCAAGGCGACGAACCGUAACUGGUCUGAGAGGAUGAUCAGUCACACUGGAACUGAGACACGGUCCAGACUCCUACGGGAGGCAGCAGUGGGGAAUAUUGGACGAUGGGCGAAAGCCUGAUCCAGCCAUGCCGCGUGUGUGAAGAAGGUCUUCGGAUGGUAAAGCACUUUAAGUUGGGAGGAAGGGCAGUAAGUUAAUACCUUGCUGUUUUGACGUUACCAACAGAAUAAGCACCGGCUAACUUCGUG